GCCGCGGUGGCUCAGUGGUAGAGUGCGCGAGUUGGAAAACGAAUAACGCAGGUUCGAUUCCACCGCGGGGCG